CCUCUCCUUCUGGGUGGGAUUGUCCCGUUGGAGUUUUGCUGCUCUGGGCUCAACUAUCGUGGCUUACUUUAUCUGGUCCUACAAGGAUCCAGUCAAACAGAGCCGGGAGGUGCUAGAAAGCCUCCAGGAGACCCAGGUGGAGUUCCGGCAGCUCCUGCAAGAAACAGAGAGGCUGCUGGCCGAGAGAGAUCUGCUACUUCACAGCUCUGGACUCUACGCCAAAAAUGAGGCUUCCUUCGACUCAGGGGUGCCAGAGCCGCUGUCUAGUUUGGAGAGCAGAGCUGAGGAGAGCGAAGUUGAGGUUGAAAGGCCCCAAGUGACAAAGGUGUGGGUCAGCACCCCCAAGCGGAGAGGACGCUCCCCUUCCCGCACUGCUCGAUCUCCAUCCUGCCAGCGUGGUCGAACAUGGAGUGCGUCCACUGAACCACUGACAAUCCCGGUGCCUCUGGAAGGGUGUCAUUCUGCAGUGGAAACCAGGGCUUUUUCAAGGAAAAUGUACGGCAACACAGCAGUAUAGAUUCAGGAGAGCAGCCAGGCUCUUCGGCACAACAUUCGGAGUCGUCGGUAUUCGGCCACUCCUCGUCAUCCAUCAUCCAACCAUCUUUAAGGCACCAUGCACUCGGCUCUGAAUUUGGAGACUUCAUGAACUGUGGCCUCGGCCUGUGCCUGUGCAGCUCAAAGGGAGACAUCUCUUGUAACACAGAUUUCCCAGCUUGGGAAUCUGUCUCACCAUUGGAGCAGGGCUCCAUCUUAACUUCUGUUUUGGAAAAGAACAUUCUUUCGAUGGCUGGGAAACUGGAAUGCUGAGCUAUGGAGUGUGUAUGGAGUGCGAAUUCCUCGCCCUCGCAAAAGCGUAAUUGCUGUCAUGGAUACAAAACUACCCACAGCAGGCAGGCAGUGAUUUAUCCGGUCUAGAUGCGCCAUUUCGCCCCCUUGAUUUUUUUUUUCUUCCUCUUCUGGGGAGAUGGUUAAAUGGAAAGACUCACCGCAAACCCCAUUCCCUUCUGCUUUUCCCACAGAAACAUUAACUUCCCCCACGGGCCCUCCCGGAACUACUUCUGUGCCAAAACCGAAUAUUCCUCUAAAUAACCACUUACUAGUUAACGCUGCUGCGGCGGUCGGUGCCGAGUUUAAUACACUUGUCUCUCAAUUUUACACUAUUAAUUAAAAAAAUGUCUUUUAUAGAAA